rnacentral:rRNA from 1 species
GAUGAACGCUGGCGGCGUGCCUAAUACAUGCAAGUCGAGCGAACGGACGAGUUGCUUGCUGCUCUGAUGUUAGCGGCGGCCGGGUGAGUAACACGAGGAUAACCUACUUCUCCGACUGGGAUAAUUUCGGCAUACCGGAGCUAAUACCGGAUAAUAUUUUGAACCUCAUGGUUCAAGAGUGAAAGACGGUCUUGCUGUCGCUUAUAGAUGGAUCCGCGCUGCAUUAGCUAGUUGGUAAGGUGACGGCUUACCAAGGCAACGAUGCAUAGCCGACCUGAGAGGGGGGUCGGCCACACUGGAACUGAGGCGCGGUCCAGACUCCUACGGGAGGCAGCAGUAGGGAAUCUUACGCAAUGGGCGAAGGCCUGACGGAGCAACGCCGCGGGAGUGAUGAAGGUCUUCGGAUCGUAAAACUCUGUUAUUAGGGAAGAACAUAUGUGGAAGUGACUGUGCACAUCUUGACGGUACCUAAUCAGAAAGCCACGGCUAACUACGUG